rnacentral:tRNA from 65 species
GCGGACGUGGUGGAAUUGGUAGACACACCAGAUUUAGGUUCUGGCGCCGCAAGGUGUGAGAGUUCGAGUCUCUCCGUCCGCACCA